rnacentral:rRNA from 1 species
UACGUAUGGGGCAAGCGUUAUCCGGAUUUACUGGGUGUAAAGGGAGCGCAGGCGGCAGUGCAAGUCUGGAGUGAAAGCCCGGGGCCCAACCCCGGAACUGCUCUGGAAACUGUGCGGCUAGAGUACUGGAGGGGCAGGCGGAAUUCCUAGUGUAGCGGUGAAAUGCGUAGAUAUUAGGAGGAACACCAGUGGCGAAGGCGGCCUGCUGGACAGUAACUGACGUUGAGGCUCGAAAGCGUGGGGAGCAAACAGG